CGCGAUUCCGGCUUCAUCCGACGUCCGAUCGAGGCGAUUUCGGUGGCGUUGGAAAGCUUGUUCCGAGAGCUUUCUUUUGACACCAAUUUUGAAGCAAAUGGAGGUCGGAUGAGUGAGAUAUGGAGGAGAGAAGUUUCGGGUUUUUCAAGCUUUUUCGUCAGAUCUACGACGAUCCGACCGUUGGAUCGACGAUCCGAGACCACAUAUGGACUGAGGAAGAGGAGAGGAACAUGGUGGUAUGAUCAGAUCCGACAAAUGUCGCCGGCGACCGGCGGCCAGCCACCGUGCGCGGUGGUUCCGGCGGUGGCUCCGGUGGGCUAUGGGGAUAAUUCAACUUCCAGAGGCUUCCUCAUAAAUUUUUAGAAUUUUUGAGACACAGAUAAACUUCGGGUGAUCGAGGUCAGCUAUUUUCUGCAUCCAGCAGCCACAAUAGUCAUCGGUGUACUGCCACAGGAGGAGUUAUUUUACAGAACAACCUGUUUUCUUCCUCGCAGGUUUAACGUCAAUUAUUUAAUUGUUUUACUAUCUUUUUCUAAAUUUAAAAUCUAGAACUCCGCAUGUGUUAGAAAUAGUGUGGACCUUGGUAGAGGUUGUGUUAAUUUAAAUUUUUAAGAUUAAUAAAUGAAGAUUUGUAUGGUAUUUAAACAGUUUGUAAGUGAGGUAACAGGGUUGAGCUGGGCUCCCCUGAUUUUAGUUUCUGAAAAUUUGUGGGCUAAGUUGGCCCGAAAUGAAAUUAUAACAGUUUGAUUUAAA